rnacentral:rRNA from 1 species
UACGUAGGUGGCAAGCGUUGUCCGGAUUUAUUGGGUUUAAAGGGUGCGUAGGCGGCUUUGUAAGUCAGUGGUGAAAUAUGGCAGCUCAACUGUCAGGGUGCCAUUGAUACUGCGGAGCUUGAGUACAGAUGAGGUAGGCGGAAUUGACGGUGUAGCGGUGAAAUGCUUAGAUAUCGUCAAGAACACCGAUAGCGAAGGCAGCUUACUAGGCUGUAACUGACGCUGAGGCACGAAAGUGUGGGGAGCGAUCCGG